AUAGCAGGCUACCUUAUCGCUUUUUUUAUAAGAGGAAAGUCCGGACACCAUAGAGCAUUACAGCGGGUAACACCCGUCAUAUGAAAAUAUAGGACAAGUGCAACAGAAAGAAUGUACAGCUAGGCUGUAGUGAAAUCAGGUAAACUCUGUAAGGUGAAACGCCAUGUAAACCAACGCUUGAGAAUUGCUCGUUCAAUGUUGAAGGGUAGGCGGUAAGAACAAUUUAGUAAUAAAUUGUCUAGAUAAAUGAUAAGGCAAGACAGAAUCCGGCUUAUGGCCUGCUUUUUUU
rnacentral:RNase_P_RNA from 1 species